CCAAUAGCGUAUAUUAAAGUUGUUGCAGUUAAAAGCUCGUAGUUGAAUUUCAGGAUUAAUAUGCUGGUCGUGCCAUUGGUACGUACUAGUAUUAUUGAUUUCUCCCUUCUGAUGAAUCAUGAUGUCAUUAAUUUGAUGUCAUGGGGAAUCAGAACUGUUACUUUGAAAAAAUUAGAGUGUUUAAAGCAGGCUCGCGCUUGAAUACAUUAGCAUGGAAUAAUGAAAUAGGACGUUUGAUUCUAUUUUGUUGGUUUCUAGAAUUGACGUAAUGAUUAAUAGGGAUAGUUGGGGGUAUUAGUAUUCAAUUGUCAGAGGUGAAAUUCUUGGAUUUAUUGAAGACUAACUACUGCGAAAGCAUUUGCCAAGGAUGUUUUCAUUAAUCAAGAACGAAAGUUAGGAGAUCGAAGACGAUCAGAUACCGUUGUAGUCUUAACCAUAAACUAUGCCGACUAGGGAUCGAAUGAUGUUAAUUAUGACUCAUUCGGCGCCUUACGGGAAACCGUU
rnacentral:rRNA from 1 species